AUCUGGAAUGGUACCCAAAGAGUUAUAAAAUUGAGUACGCCCUUUGACCCAGCAAUACCACAAUGAGAUCUGUUUCCCAAAGCGGUCAGGGAAAAAGGAAAAGAACCUAUAGUUCUAAAAUAUUUAUAGCAGCCCUCUUUGUGGUAGCAAAAAAAUGGUAACUGAGGGGAUGCCCAUCAAUUAGGCAGUGGCUAAAUAGGUUGUGGUACGUGAUUUUGAUGGACUAUUAGUAUGCUGUAAGAAAUGAUAAGUAAGUUGGUUUUAGAAAAACAUGGAAAGAUGUGGAUGAAAUAAUGAAGAAUGAAAUGAGCAGAAUCAACAGAACACUGUCUAUUCCAUAACAGUGAUAUUAUUCAAAAAGUAAAUGAGAAUGACUAAGAUUCUGAAUAAUAUGAAUAUUCAAAUGAGCCACAAAGAACCGAUGAAGGAAUAUGCUAUCCAUCUCCAAAGAAAGAACUGACAUAUGGAAGCAUAUAUAUUGUAUGGUUUCACAUAUGUAUCUGUGGCCAGCAGUGGCCUUCUCUAGUGAGGGUUAGAAGGGAAAAAGGAAAAAAGGAAAUAGCUUGGAACUCAAAAUGUCACAAAAAUGAAAUAAAUAUUUUUUAGGAAAAAAAAAUUUAAUUGGUGCAGACGAGUGGGAAAAACUCAAAGCUGAAGGUCCAGGGCGGCUGUGGGACACCUAAGCAGAUGGGUUCGACAAGAGAGAAAUAUAAAUGUUAAUAGGAUGGAUCUUGAGAAUAGGCAUAGUCAAAUUCAAUAUGCAUUUAUUCAACCGCUAUAUGAUAAAAGUAAGUCAGGCCUUGCCCUCGGGGAGCUUCCGUUGUACAGUUCCGAAGCUAUAAGUGGGUUCUACCAAAGGGACUCUGGACUCCGGUAAUUGCUAUCCCCGCUUCCUUCUUUUCUCCAGCUUUCUUGAGAAAGUAUAUCCGCCACCACCAUGGCCACCCUACACACCUUCUAAACACUGAAGAAGAAUUCUUAGGAAUUGACAAAGGGCCUGGAUUCAUUCACUUCCUGACUUCAGACAAAUCACAUCUCAGUCAGUUUCAAGGUUCUCCAAACUCUGGUGUUCCACAUUCUAGGAUCUUCUGUAUUCUAAGGUUCUUCGGACAUUUUCUCUUCCAUAUCUCUGAUAUUCCAUCAUAGAGGAAGAGCCUGACCCCUGUCAACUGGUUUUGGAACCCCCAAGUUUUCUCCUGCCCCCUUGGGAACUUAUCUUAAGGGAAAUCCCAAACUGACUUAGUCUCCAACAGAACAAUAAACCCUUAAAGGACCCAAUGAUCUAAGCUUAG
rnacentral:lncRNA from 1 species